rnacentral:rRNA from 1 species
GGGUUGUAAACUUCUUUUAUACGGGAAUAAAGUGAGGCACGUGUGCCUUUUUGUAUGUACCGUAUGAAUAAGGAUCGGCUAACUCCGUGCCAGCAGCCGCGGUAAUACGGAGGAUCCGAGCGUUAUCCGGAUUUAUUGGGUUUAAAGGGAGCGUAGGCGGACGCUUAAGUCAGUUGUGAAAGUUUGCGGCUCAACCGUAAAAUUGCAGUUGAUACUGGGUGUCUUGAGUACAGUAGAGGCAGGCGGAAUUCGUGGUGUAGCGGUGAAAUGCUUAGAUAUCACGAAGAACUCCGAUUGCGAAGGCAGCUUGCUGGACUGUAACUGACGCUGAUGCUCGAAAGUGUGGGUAUCAAACAGGAUUAGAUACCCUGGUAGUCCACACAGUAAACGAUGAAUACUCGCUGUUUGCGAUAUACAGUAAGCGGCCAAGCGAAAGCGUUAAGUAUUCCACCUGGGGAGUA